rnacentral:rRNA from 1 species
UACGUAGGGUGCGAGCGUUGUCCGGAAUUAUUGGGCGUAAAGAGCUCGUAGGUGGUUUGUCGCGUUGUCCGUGAAAACUCACAACUCAAUUGUGGGCGUGCGGGCGAUACGGGCAGACUGGAGUACUGCAGGGGAGACUGGAAUUCCUGGUGUAGCGGUGGAAUGCGCAGAUAUCAGGAGGAACACCGGUGGCGAAGGCGGGUCUCUGGGACGGUACUGGACGCUGAGACGCGAAAGCGUGGGGAGCGAACAGG